rnacentral:rRNA from 1 species
AUUGAACGCUGGCGGCAGGCCUAACACAUGCAAGUCGAGCGAGCGGCGGACGGGUGAGUAAUGCCUAGGAAUCUGCCUGGUAGUGGGGGAUAACGUCCGGAAACGGGCGCUAAUACCGCAUACCAUCGGAUGUGCCCAGAUGGGAUUAGCUAGUAGGUGGGGUAACGGCUCACCUAGGCGACGAUCCCUAGCUGGUCUGAGAGGAUGACCAGCCACACGGGAACUGAGACACGGUCCAGACUCCUACGGGAGGCAGCAGUGGGGAAUAUUGCACAAUGGGCGCAAGCCUGAUGCAGCCAUGCCGCGUGUGUGAAGAAGGCCUUCGGGUUGUAAAGCACUGUCAGCGAGGAGGCGUUACUCGCAGAAGAAGCACCGGCUAACUCCGUGCCAGCAGCCGCGGUAAUAC